GUAGACAUGACAGUAUAAGCAGGCUUGGAGAGUAUACUGGAAACAACGUAGUCUAUCUCCCAGGGAAGGCAAAUGAAUCUCUCCUCAAGAAAUGGGAAGUGAACUGUGACACAAUGAAAGCAUCACCUCUACCACUGAACACAUCUCAGGAGCUUCAACACAGACUCCAGGACAGCAAAAUUCUCACCAGCAAGAUACACCCUGUGUUCACUAUGUAUGGAAGCUUUAUAAAUGCAGUCUUAAAUGUCAACACAGAUAUAGAAAUGUGGGAUUUUUCUUCCUCUGUACUAUUUAUACUUCUGAGGUCAAUUUCACAGUAAACUAGAUUAGGGCUUAUUUUGUUAAGUAUUAGGUGAAGAAUUUUGAAAAUAAAUUUUUGGUGCAUA